rnacentral:rRNA from 1 species
GACGGGGGAUGCAAGUGUUAUCCGGAAUCACUGGGCGUAAAGCCUCUGCAGGUGGUGAUGCAAGUCACUGGUGCAAGACUCUGGAUCAACCGGAGGAAAGCCAGUGAAACUGCAUGACUAGAGUGUGGGAGAGGUAGAAGGAAUUCCCUGAGUAGCGGUGAAAUGCGUAGAUACAGGGAAGAACACCGGAGGCGAAAGCGUUCUACUGGAACACAACUGACACUGAGAGACGAAAGCUAGGGGAGCGAAUGGG